AGUUUGAUCCUGGCUCAGAUUGAACGCUGGCGGCAUGCCUUACACAUGCAAGUCGAACGGCAGCACGGACUUCGGUCUGGUGGCGAGUGGCGAACGGGUGAGUAAUAUAUCGGAACAUACCCUAGAGUGGGGGAUAACGUAGCGAAAGUUACGCUAAUACCGCAUACGAACUAAGGUUGAAAGCGGGGGAUCUUCGGACCUCGUGCUCAUGGAGUGGCCGAUAUCUGAUUAGCUAGUUGGUGAGGUAAAGGCUCACCAAGGCGACGAUCAGUAGCUGGUUUGAGAGAACGACCAGCCACACUGGAACUGAGACACGGUCCAGACUCCUACGGGAGGCAGCAGUGGGGAAUUUUGGACAAUGGGCGCAAGCCUGAUCCAGCAAUGCCGCGUGAGUGAAGAAGGCCUUCGGGUUGUAAAGCUCUUUUGUCAGGGAAGAAACGGUGAGUCCUAAUAUGGCUUGCUAAUGACGGUACCUGAAGAAUAAGCACCGGCUAACUACGUG
rnacentral:rRNA from 1 species